rnacentral:miRNA from 1 species
AUGCACACUGAUGCUGAUUGU